UACGGAGGGUGCGAGCGUUGUUCGGAUUUAUUGGGCGUAAAGCGCGUGUAGGCGGUCUUUUAAGUCUGAUGUGAAAGCCCCGGGCUCAACCUGGGAAGUGCAUUGGAUACUGGGAGGCUUGAGUGCGGGAGAGGGCAGUGGAAUUCCCAGUGUAGGAGUGAAAUCCGUAGAUAUUGGGAGGAACACCGGUGGCGAAGGCGGCUGCCUGGACCGAUACUGACGCUGAGACGCGAGAGCGUGGGGAG
rnacentral:rRNA from 1 species